rnacentral:rRNA from 1 species
AUUGAACGCUGGCGGCAUGCCUUACACAUGCAAGUCGAACGGCAGCGCGGACCUCGGUCUGGCGGCGAGUGGCGAACGGGUGAGUAAUACAUCGGAACGUACCCUGUUGUGGGGGAUAACUAGUCGAAAGAUUAGCUAAUACCGCAUACGACCUGAGGGUGAAAGUGGGGGACCGCAAGGCCUCACGCAGCAGGAGCGGCCGAUGUCUGAUUAGCUAGUUGGUGGGGUAAAGGCCCACCAAGGCGACGAUCCGUAGCUAGUCUGAGAGGACGAUCAGCCACACUGGAACUGAGACACGGUCCAGACUCCUACGGGAGGCAGCAGUGGGGAAUUUUGGACAAUGGGCGCAACCCUGAUCCAGCAAUGCCGCGUGUGUGAAGAAGGCCUUCGGGUUGUAAAGCACUUUUGUCCGGGAAGAAAUCGCGCUGGUUAAUACCUGGCGUGGAUGACGGUACCGGAAGAAUAAGCACCGGCUAACUACGUG